rnacentral:rRNA from 1 species
AGAGUUUGAUCCUGGCUCAGAUUGAACGCUGGCGGCAGGCCUAACACAUGCAAGUCGAGCGGAUGAGUGGAGCUUGCUCCAUGAUUCAGCGGCGGACGGGUGAGUAAUGCCUAGGAAUCUGCCUGGUAGUGGGGGACAACGUUUCGAAAGGAACGCUAAUACCGCAUACGUCCUACGGGAGAAAGCAGGGGACCUUCGGGCCUUGCGCUAUCAGAUGAGCCUAGGUCGGAUUAGCUAGUAGGUGAGGUAAUGGCUCACCUAGGCGAC